rnacentral:rRNA from 1 species
GACGAACGCUGGCGGCGUGCUUAACACAUGCAAGUCGAACGAUGAAGCUGGAGCUUGCUCCGGUGGAUUAGUGGCGAACGGGUGAGUAACACGUGAGCAAUCUGCCCUUGACUCUGGGAUAACUGCGGGAAACUGUAGCUAAUACCGGAUAUGAGGCUUGGAGGCAUCUCCAGGUCUGGAAAGAAUUUCGGUCAAGGAUGAUCUCGCGGCCUAUCAGCUAGUUGGUGAGGUAAUGGCUCACCAAGGCGACGACGGGUAGCCGGCCUGAGAGGGUGACCGGCCACACUGGGACUGAGACACGGCCCAGACUCCUACGGGAGGCAGCAGUGGGGAAUAUUGCACGAUGGGCGAAAGCCUGAUGCAGCAACGCCGCGUGAGGGAUGAAGGCCUUCGGGUUGUAAACCUCUUUUAGCAGGGAAGAAGCGAAAGUGACGGUACCUGCAGAAAAAGCACCGGCUAACUACGUGCCAGCCGCCGCCGUAA